ACGGGUGAGUAAUGUCUGGGGAUCUGCCCGAUAGAGGGGGAUAACCACUGGAAACGGUGGCUAAUACCGCAUAACGUCGCAAGACCAAAGAGGGGGACCUUCGGGCCUCUCACUAUCGGAUGAACCCAGAUGGGAUUAGCUAGUAGGCGGGGUAACGGCCCACCUAGGCGACGAUCCCUAGCUGGUCUGAGAGGAUGACCAGCCACACUGGAACUGAGACACGGUCCAGACUCCUACGGGAGGCAGCAGUGGGGAAUAUUGCACAAUGGGCGCAAGCCUGAUGCAGCCAUGCCGCGUGUAUGAAGAAGGCCUUCGGGUUGUAAAGUACUUUCAGCGAGGAGGAAGGCGAUGUGGUUAAUAACCGCAUUGAUUGACGUUACCCGCAGAAGAAGCACCGGCUAACUCCGUGCCAGCAGCCGCGGUAAUACGGAGGGUGCAAGCGUUAAUCGGAAUUACUGGGCGUAAAGCGCACGCAGGCGGUCUGUUAAGUCAGAUGUGAAAUCCCCGGGCUUAACCUGGGAACUGCAUUUGAAACUGGCAGGCUUGAGUCUCGUAGAGGGGGGUAGAAUUCCAGGUGUAGCG
rnacentral:rRNA from 1 species